rnacentral:lncRNA from 1 species
ACCAUGCGUAAACCGUCAUGCGGCUUACAGGCUGUUGGUUAAGAAAUCGUAAGUUGGGCCUCGAGUCAUGUCUUAGGUCCCUUUGGGCCAUCUUCUGUCUCGAAGCGUUUAUUACGGCUUCUUUCGAUAAAGAACGAACUUUUUGCGGUUUUUACCGCGAAGUUUGAUCGAUGACUUAGAAUGGCGGGAAACAUGAAAUGGGUUCGCUACGGUCUUCGAGAGAUAGCAUCAAAGGAUAGACGAAUUUGUUAUAAAUUAACUUCGAGGUUUUCGGUCAACAAAUCUUAUACAUAAGAUAUAUCAAAAUGACUUUGCAAGGAUAAUAAAACUACCGCUGGCUAAGGCUGUUCCUUUCCGUCCUAGAGUAAGGUCUCCUGCCUAUUGGUUAUCUGCAUCACAAAUGAGUCAUGAUUAACUAGUUUACUCAGUGAGUCUAAUCCCACACCCAAACACAUAUCAAUAGUAUCCCGAGCAAGCAUAAUAGAAAAUCUCCCAAGGAAUGCACUCGAAGGUUGGUGAAAAGGAUAAGCUUUGACCUAAAGAUGGAUUAAAGGAAAGGUGGAUCGAUGGUUCUUCAGUAUAAGGCUGCGGAAGGCCAGAUACUUGCUGGGUUGGUCUUAGUCCGUGAGAGGCAGCCCCACUAGUGAACAAGACCGUGCUUACGGAAAUCACUCUCGUAGCAUUACGAUGUUCCAAAGAACAAAGGAUUCAACAAAUUUAAAAAAUAGAUUUUUAUUAAAAGGGUUGAAUGAAUAAAAACAAUACAAAGCAAACCUUUAUAUAAUAGGCAAUUUGUAAAAUUAAAUAAUCUAGUCAAUCCUUGAAACUAUAAAGCUCUUAAAACUAUGAAGACUUGACUAGGAAUAUUGACUUGACCAAAGACCAAGACUGUUGACUGAAUUUUGGAAAUUGUGUUCGCAGAAUUCCUUGGCUGGUCGCAUCCUUUUGCAUGAUCGACGGUCUCUGAAUUGCCGUCAGAUUGAUAUAUUAUACGACAUUGGCUUGUAUUUUCUUGGUGAGCCUUUCUUUUUUUUGGACUUCUCUUGAUUUGCUUGUUCAUGAACAAGGUCACAUAAAAGCGACACCAUUUGAAUGCAGUGGAAUUAUAUUCCAUAAUUAAUAUAAUUAUAAGGCCUCUCAAUCCAUCCAUGUGAAUCUAUCUUAAACAUCACCUCCACGAUACCCGCCAAUCACUCAUACUCUUAAUAUAUAUAUAUGCUAAACCCGGAAAACCACCAAGGCUAACCGAACCUAACGGGGAAUAAAUAUAACCAUCAUCUCCAUCAGAUAUUCCAAGAUAGAACAUCCAACGCUGCAUGCAGUUACACGGCCUCCAGGGUGCGACCCCAUCAUCGUGUCUUCAUGACCUUGAUCCAUAUCACAUGAUCAAUUCACGGAAAUGCGGGACUUUCGGGAGAGUGAGUAUACAAUAAGACUUCACAUGAUUCACGCUUAUUAAUAGAAUACUUAUAGAUUAGUACUUGAGAACAAGUACUAAGGCUCGGGAUAACCUCAAAGAAUUAUUCUUAUUAAUUCUUAAGUAUUUUAACUUGAUAAAUACUUCAUAUAUAAAUAUAGAUCAAGGGAUAAUACUUAAUCAAUCAACCAUAAUUACUCCUUAAAUAAUCCAUGAUUAAUUCUUAAUUAAUCAAUGAUUAUCCCUUAAUUAAUUGAUUAUUAAUUCUUAAUUAAUCAACCAUAUUCAAUAUGCAAUCAUGCAUACUCAUUCAUAAUUCAUUCAUCAUCUAUCUAGACUCACCUUUAAAUCCAUGAGAUUGGCUAAGCAAUACUAUACUCGAGCUCAAGCUAAUCACACUCGUCUUCUGGAAUAUUCUCGAUUUAAAAUCACCACAAGGAUCCGGCUGAUCGGAACACUAUCCUUGACCAUCUGUACCAAUAACAGAACGGUAGGAACAAAGGUUAAUCAGUCCGGUUCAACCCCACAGUUCAAGAUUCAGGACAGCUACUAAGGCAAGUUCAAGGCAGCUUCAGUUCGGUUCAAACAUAAAUCGUUUCAGCUAAGUUGUUUAGAUGGUAGGGGACCGUGAACUGAACUAAUAUAAAUCAACAAAAGGGAUUAAGAAAUUAAUCCAGAGAGGAAGAACAACAACUCAGACAGCAAGUUACAAUCUAAAUUGAUCUGGAUCAAAAGGCAAAACAGUUUACCGGUUCAAAUCAAACACUGUCUGAACUCAAUUGAUACUCCACUUUAAAAUGAAGCCACGCCAAACCUGAUGUACCACAUCAAGAAAAUGUCGGACUCAAUCAGAACAAAACUGAACCGCAGUCAAUCCAACAGAAAUGCUCACAUAAAACUGAUCCACACAACAACUUACAUCUUUACCGAUUAAAAUCAAAGGCUGAAGAACAUGGGUGAUUCUCAACUUCAGGACACCAAAUCUCCAACUCUUUACCACAUAAAUACUCACUGAUUAAAUUCACAAGAUGGUUGGAAAGGGUUGUCCAUGCUCACUCCUCUUCUCUGAAUUUGUUUCUGAAUUUUUCAUGAAUUUUUCUUUGAAUUUUUCUGUCACUUUUCUCUCUUCUCUCUCUCUGAUUUUUCUGUGUUUCUCACAGGUUUAUGCACGACCAAACUGGUGGAGAAAGAGUUAAAUAUGUUAGGAAGUUACUUAAGGUGAGGGUUUCACAAAACACAAGGCAAGGCUGAGUGGAGUCAGGUGGAGACAUGCUUCAGCACAUCAAGAAGCACAAGCAGCUGAACUUUUCCUUCCCAUGAAGAAAGCUACAAGCAGCUGAAGCAAGUAGCUUGUGACCAGCAUGUGACUUCUAAUGAGCAAGCAGGCAAGCAAGUAGGUGCAGGUCAUGUGACCUAAUUACUGAGGAAGCAAGUAGGCUAGAAGGUGCAAAGCAUGUGACUGUUCAGAAAUAACUUUCAGAGUUUUGUCGAUAUUUUUCGGACUGUUUCGACUACAUAUUUUUCAUCAUUCGAAUCUCGUCCUGCUCUGAAUAAACUCGCCCAAUAUGAAUAAAAAUCGACAAUAAUAAUUAACACUCGACCAGAACCAUCAAAAGAUAGUUUUUCGACCAAAAGACAGCCUCGUCGAGAUUAAUUCACCGUGUCGAUUUUUAUUUAAAUUCUGAUCGAUCAAUCUUCAAACUGAUCUUAAAGAAUUUUCUCGACCAGAAUUAUAUAUGCUCGUGAGGGUUAUUACAUUCUUCCCCCCUCAAAAGAAUUCGUCCCCGAAUUCUGAAAACGUAGUUGUACACUCUUUACUGAACAGUCACUGAAUGGAGUUCUGGAUAUUAGCUCUUACAUUAUCUUAAUCUUCCUAUAUCAAAACAACUCAUGGUCGAUCCCUUGAUUCCCCCAACCGAUCCUUUCUUUUCUGAGCAGCCACUUUCAAGAUAACCAAAUUCUUUACUCUGCACAACUCUUGUCAACUGCGUUCUGCAUACUUUUUCUAACAAUCUUCUAUCUGUAGACUAUCACUUCUCAACCUUUUUUAUCUGACUUUCCCCCAUAACAGCAACAUGAAAUUUGGAACAUGAGGUGAUGUGCCAUACGUGAAUGUAACAUCUCCAGUCUGGUCAAUGUUAACUUGAUUAACCGUGCAACAAUCAAACAAGAACAUGCACGAUCAAUCACACCAACAUGAUUCGGACCAGGGGUGCUACUCUCAAAUAAACACACUCACCCAUUCCAAGAAUGAUUUUACUUACAGUAUUCUUUACACUUCUGAUCUAUCUGAGAUGCUCUUCAUAAUCUUCUGACUACUACUAGAACUCGGCAAGAACCACUUGGUGAGAUCCCUAGGCUAUUGCAGCGAAUCCAGGUUCAACAAGAAUAUUGAACAGCUUACUUCUAGAUAGCAACAACUCUUCCAAUUCCUUAAGCAUAACUUCAAAUUCUCUAGCUAUCUGAUUGUUCACUAUAUUCUGAUCCUUGUCAUCUUCUGUUUUCCUAAUGAUCAAGAUAAUGGAAUACACAUCUUCACCUUUUCCCAAAAGGUCUUCAACUCACAAGACUGAUACUAACGAUGCUCCAACAUUUGGUAGAAUACCAUUGUAGGCCAUUGGCAACUAGUCUUCUUCCAAAAACUUCCUUCCUCAACAACAUCCUAAUUGAGCUCGAUAACUAGAUAGCCAAUCUCACUCUAGAUAGAAACAAACCGCUCUAAUGGAAGUACUUAGGAAUGGGGAUGGGAUACGGAGGCAUACCAUAACUCUAAAUGGCAGCCAGUACUUCCACGAAUAAGAACAGUGUACCUGAAUUCACUAAAGUGAAUCCUUCCUAAAACAAUGACACUACCCAAGAACUACAUCUAUGUGUUGUUCCCGCAUCACACACAAUAUGGACGGAAAAUUCAGUCCAUAGGCAAGGUCUCAUACGACACCUUGAUCACUCCUUCACUUAUUUAUUUAAUCAUUCAUAAAUUUUUAAAAUGCACACAACACGCAAUAGGAUAAGAAGCAAACCUGUGAUUGGACCUUUUUAGAAGUUUUGACGGUCCAGGCAACUAUAAAGUGUAGGCUCUACCCAAAUAGCCAAACACUUAGUUAGUGACUAAUGGUAAGGGAAGCGAACAAGUUUAACAAGCGGUACCCUAGGUUUAGGUAAAAAGAUCGGGUAACUUUAUGGGCAAGGGUAAAAUAAUCAUCCUUACUCUUCACAAGGGAAUCACUGAAGCACAUUGAUGCAAAUAAUCAAGAAUUUCUCGCACUUGGACGAUCCCGACUAUGCUGUCCUGGCAUGUCACCACCAUAACAACUCAGCCUCCUCGAUCUUGAUCUGAUGAAACGUACACCCAAAAUCAUCCCAGCGACUUAAUCCACUGAUUUAAAAUAAUCUUCGAUCUUCACUGGUUGGGAAUUAAACGGUCUGCAGAAUUUGGUGAACUUCUUCAGCAAUAACUUCUUUAGUAUUCGCGUCAUACUCUAACAUCUCCUCGAAGCUCUGAGACUCCAUGGUCUUUUAUCUACUACAAAAUUCUUGGCUAAAUUCCCAAAUAUUUUCCAUCUGAUCUUUGGCUUAUUCUCCAAACCAUAAUCGAUGAAUGAAAUUCACUCGACCAUACAUCUUGAUGCUGAAAUUGUUGUAUAUGAUUAACUCAACCUGAACCUCCUGGCGGAAACAUCCUACUGUACCAACUCCGUAAACUGAAUCUUCAAUCGGUCUCAUAUCUUGUGUAGAAAAUUCUACUUCAUGAACCCUUGAGAUCUGUCCAACUCGAUCUCACCUCUCUUAAGUAAUUCUUAACUCUCGACCAACAACUCAUUGCGUUCAUCUCCAAAUAGCUUGCUACCAAAUCCUUCAUGUAAUUCUCUGAACAUUGGCCACAUCAAUGUUUUGCUCUGGGUGUUAAUUUCAUCCCAAAUCUGCCUCAAGCCAAAGUAUACCUCAAACGGUUUAGUGUUUCUUCAGUAUCUUAAGGUCCCACUACUUCUUUCCAUCAUAAGCUUUAAGAUGUCUUGUUGCCAACAGAAAGGUGCAUGUGUGCCCAUCGUCUUGUAGUACAGUUGAACCAUCUCUUCCUCCAACGCUAAGCUCCAAACAAAUGUUGAACAAUUCAGGCUUGUACGGCUUUGUUUCUUGUAAGUCUCAGCAUAAGCUGGAGACUUGAGAAGCUGGAAGAAUAAUUGCAUCUAGGUGAUCAUGUGCAAUCGCAUCGCUCUGAAUCGGACCACAAACAACGUCCACCUUGACAUCGAUAACACACAAGUCCAGAGAUGUAUUCGAUGUAUCAAUUUUGUCCCAUAUCUCUCUCUAAGGAAUUGGCAUCCCCCACUAGAAUUCAAAAGAACGACAGGAAGGCAUGACGUUACUGACUCUUAACAUGGCGGUAGUGAACCCCACCAUGAGGGUAGCAAACUCGAGCCUGAUGAUACUAACAUCGGUAAGUACGGUCCACCCGUUCAAGCUUGUCUCGGUGCUUAUGCUCUGAAAGAUCACUGUUAGGUAACUACCCACGACUAUCUAUCCUUAUAUGAAGGAACAAGCCAGCAAAUCCUAGUUAUCCUUGCGACUCAUUUUGACUCGAAAAACAUUUGAAAGAAGUCCCAUUCUAGCAUCGUAUAACCAUGCUCUAAUACCACCUUUGUGACACCCCCGAUCGUAGAUGAUCGGAAAUGACACGGUCAAUGUUCCUCGAUUGUCGAUCUGAGGUUCUCAGAAUACUUCCGAUCGCCUUAGACCAACAACCAAAGAACACCAACGCUCCUAUCAGAUAUAACUCUAGGCUUUUCAACCCGACAAAGCAAUACCCGAUAGUUAGUUCGUCCGGACAAGGACUAAUAUCAUAUGGAACCCGUACUUAAAAAAACAUUCUUUAUAUAUCAAUCAAAAGCAUCUUACAAAAUUUGUUAUAAAUUAACCUCGAGGUUUUCGGUCAACAAAUCUUAUAUAUAAGAUAUAUCAAAAUGACUUUGCAAGGAUAAUAAAACUACCGCUGGCUAAUGCUAUUCCUUCCCGUCCUAGAGUAAGGUCUCCCGCCGAUUGGUUACCUGCAUCACAAAUGAGUCAUGAGUAACUAGUUUACUCAGUGAGUCUAAUCCCACACCCAAACACAUAUCAAUAGUAUCCCGAGCAAGCGGCGCCAUUUGAAUGCAGUGGAAUUCUAUUCCAUAAUUAAUAUAAUUAUAAGGCCUCUCAAUCCGUCCAUGUGAAUCUAUCUUAAACAUCACCUCCACGAUACCCGCCAAUCAC